rnacentral:lncRNA from 1 species
GAAUGAGAUGUGGCUACCUCUGAGGGAAAACACACUGAAACCCCGAGGAGAUACCUGGAGGAAUGCUAGACCAGUGAGCUAACAGAGACAUCCUCUUGAACCUUAUCCUCUAGCCAUUCAAAUGUCAGCUUUGGAUACAAUGAUGGCUGCUGCCUAAAACAAGCAGGUUUUCUGAAACCUUCUGAGCAACGUGUCACCUUCAUCCAACAAAAGGAAAGGCAAAGUGUCUGGACCACACCGACUCCAUCUCAUUCAUCCCCCUCUGCACCGCGGCACCUAGCCCUGUUCAGCUGUUUGGGUGUUUCAGAACGCCUGGAUAGAGGUAAGGAGAUGUUUUGGGGGAAUAUGGAAACUUGAAACACCUGCCUUCAUGGCUGGGUCUCCUGUUGCUGGCUGUCUGGCCAGGCCUUUCGUGGUGUGAUGGGUACAUCGUGUGGCAGAGAGCAGAAGUGCAAUUUUUGUUUGACCUUUUUCUUGGGCUAAAUUCUGCCACUCUGGCCAGCUGAGC